CACUUCACUGGGUUCAGGUCUCCAUUCUUUUCUGCUGGCCAUGUGUUUCACUAAAUUCUGGCCCCAUUCACCUCUUAGAAGUUAAGUCCUAAUUAGCCUAAGCAAAUCAUGAUAAUUAUAUUCUUAUUCUCAGUGACUGGAUUAAGAAAAGGCAUGUGACUCAGUUCUAUGAAAUAGGAGAGAGAAGUCUGCUGAAGGUGCUCCCCUCUUAGAAGAGACACAAGGAAACAACAAUCCUUUCUUUUCCUCUGGGUCUUGGUGUGUGAGGAUGCCACGACUGGAGGGAGCCAGGCGAUAUACGGACAACGGCAGCAAAGAGUGACGGCAGCCCCCAGCUCUUGACAGUACCUAGCACUGGCGAUGGCAUGUUGGUGAGACUACACCUCUGUACAGCCUUACCGAGGAUCAAGUGAGUAACAGUUAUCGGGAUUCCACCAGGACAUUCACUGGAACAGGAAAACCCUGGACACUAGGAAAGAUCCCUUGAGACGGCACUGCUCAGCAGACGCUGUCGAUGGGUUCCCUGGUGUCAUUCAUGACCCCACCCCCUUGCCUCCCUCUCCUGGGACGGUGGGAAAGCAGAAAUGCUCUCCUCCUCAGAUCCCCUGCCACUGGGCCGGCCCUGUUGCUAUGCAGGUAUUCUCCCCAAGGACAGUAACGGAAGUCUCUGGGAAAGCCAUUUAGAAGGGACUCACCUGAGCACACUGUAGCACCGCCCUGCCUUCUCCAGCAGCUGAUGCGGGAGGAGGCUGGCCUUCGCUCCCAUCGAGACUUCCCACACUAAUUGAGACUGCAACCACAUCAGAGCCUCUGGGAAAGAGCAGAAGGCACCCGAAUCCUCGGCUGCUGCAGAGCCCACCCACCCGCCUUCGAUGAGUCAGCCACAGAGGCCACCAUCGAACUGACACCAUCCAGGCAGAGAACAGUGGUGUGAAGAUGGAACAGUUGAAGGAACUAGAACUUAUUCGAAAGAGCCAGUGACCAGAGCACCACAGGAACCAGCACCUCCAGGGAAGCAUGGCCAUCACCAUGCUCAUCCUGGAAAUGAAGCAAGCGCUCCAUUAGAGGGGCACUAGCCUGCUGCCCACAGCUUUCCAGAAGAUUCCGAGGUUCAGAACCUGACAUCUACACAAGAGAGUUGAUCGUUUUAGAAAAUUAGUGCAGUAUUGCAGAAUGGGGUUCCUAGCUGAGGAGACGCAUUUUUCAGCAAUGCACCUAUCCUGGAGAGGCUGGAGGGUAACUGACCUUUCCAAAUUCUUGGGUGAGAGGGACAUUUCCGGACUCUGUUGCACAAAGAGGCUCACCAAAAGUCUCUCUGCAUUGGAGAGAGAGAAGCUUCCUGCACCUGCAGCCUUUGCCCCAGUCGCCACCCUUCCCCCUUCCUCUGCCUUGAAACAAGGACACCGUAACUCAAGGUCCAGCAGCCAGAAUACAGUCCUGAGGACAAAAGCCCAGUGCUGAGUAUGACAGAGCAGGAGGUCCACAUUCUGUCCUUCUCUACUGCUCAGGGCACCCGAGGAUGGCUUGUCUGGACUGCAUCAACAGGUUCACCUGCCCUCUGGCUUCUGGUUGGGCUUGGCCCAGAAAUACUCCUGCUGCGAGUUACUCUGUUAUAUGCUUGCGAAAGUACACCAAGAUCAUUUACAAGGACGGUCCCUGCAGUAUUGUUUGUAAUGGCAAAAUUAUGGAAACUGCUCAUAUAUUCCUCAGUUGGAAGACUAGUUAAAUAAAAUAUAGUGUAGCAUACCUUGGGACACUUUGUAAAAAUGAAAAAGGGAUGGCUCUGGAGGUGCUGACUUGGAAAGUUCUCCCAGAUAUAUUUUAAAUGAAAAAAGCUAUGAAGACAGCUGGAUUCUCAUAUCUGCAUUCAGUCUACUGCAAUAUGAUGUUUUGGGUGGAAUUAUCGGAAGAAAAUCUGGCCUCACACGGACACGUAGUUGGAAGAGGGAGGGUCCCACAGACCCUCUGAAAUGGUCCCCAGGAUCCCAGGGCUCCUCUGACCACACACUGAGGACCGCUGUGCCGGAGCAGGGCACAUCUUAACAAAGCUGAGGAAGACUGGCCCUGAGCUAACAUCCGUGCCCAUCUUCCUCCACUUUUUAAAUGUGAGAUGCCUGCCACAGCAUGGCUUGAUAAGUAGUGCAUAGGUCUGCACCUGGGAUCUGAACUGGCAAACCCUGGGCUGCCAAAGCAGAACUUAAUCACUGCACUACCGGGCCAGCCCCAGCAAGGGGAGUUUCUGAAGGGAGUGUGCCAUCU
rnacentral:lncRNA from 1 species